rnacentral:rRNA from 1 species
UACGGAGGGUGCAAGCGUUGUCCGGAAUCACUGGGCGUAAAGGGCGCGUAGGCGGCUCAUGAAGGCUGUGGUGAAAGUCCGGGGCUCAACCUCGGAUCGGCCGUGGCGACUCGUGGGCUGGAGCACUGUAGAGGCGGGUGGAAUUCCCGGUGUAGCGGUGAAAUGCGCAGAUAUCGGGGAGAACACCCGUGGCGAAGGCGGCUCUCUGGGACGGUACUGACGCUGAGACGCGAAAGCGUGGGGAGCGAACAGG